rnacentral:rRNA from 1 species
UACGUAGGGUGCAAGCGUUGUUCGGAAUUAUUGGGCGUAAAGCGCGUGUAGGCUGCCAAUCAAGUCGGAUGUGAAAGCCCUCGGCUCAACCGAGGAAGUGCAUCCGAAACUCAUUGGCUGGAAGAAGGUAGAGGGAGGUGGAAUUCCUAGUGUAGAGGUGAAAUUCGUAGAUAUUAGGAGGAAUACCUGAGGCGAAGGCGGCCUCCUGGGCCUUUCUUGACGCUGAGACGCGAAAGCGUGGGUAGCAAACAGG